AACGAACGCUGGCGGCAGGCUUAACACAUGCAAGUCGAGCGCGCCCUUCGGGGUGAGCGGCGGACGGGUUAGUAACGCGUGGGAACGUACCCUUUUCUAAGGAAUAGUCACUGGAAACGGUGGGUAAUACCUUAUACGCCCUUCGGGGGAAAGAUUUAUCGGUAAAGGAUCGGCCCGCGUUAGAUUAGAUAGUUGGUGGGGUAAUGGCCUACCAAGUCUACGAUCUAUAGCUGGUUUUAGAGGAUGAUCAGCAACACUGGGACUGAGACACGGCCCAGACUCCUACGGGAGGCAGCAGUGGGGAAUCUUAGACAAUGGGCGCAAGCCUGAUCUAGCCAUGCCGCGUGAGUGAUGAAGGUCUUAGGAUCGUAAAGCUCUUUCGCUGGGGAAGAUAAUGACUGUACCCAGUAAAGAAGUCCCGGCUAACCCCGUGCCAGCAGCCGCGGUAAUACGGAGGGGACUAGCGUUGUUCGGAAUUACUGGGCGUAAAGCGUGCGUAGGCGGAUCAGCAAGUUGGGGGUGAAAUCCCGGGGCUCAACCCCGGAACUGCCUCCAAAACUGUUGGUCUAGAGUUCGAGAGAGGUGAGUGGAAUUCCGAGUGUAGAGGUGAAAUUCGUAGAUAUUCGGAGGAACAUCAGUGGCGAAGGCGGCUCACUGGCUCGAUGCUGACGCUGAGGUACGAAAGUGUGGGGAGCAAACAGG
rnacentral:rRNA from 1 species